CUUGAACUUGACAAAAGGUGCUGAAAGAUGAUCUAUAGUUUUAUUAUCCACAAAGCACUGAGUGUGAUCAAAAAUUACUUAACAACAGCUCAACAAAUAUUGAAAAACUGUAAGAAAAUAAAAAUAUCUAGUGGCAGCAAUAAACUGGUGAGAAAUUAAGCAGAAAAACAAGGAAGGUUCCCUACACCUGGCUCUUUUGAUCAUCUACACCAUACUCAAAGUUGUGUUUAGUAUAUGGAGAAUUUAGCACCAAAAAUAUACAAGGGGUCAAAUUCACAAUUUUCCAUUACUCCCCUUGUAUAGUAAAUUAUCACUUAAUGGUAAAUUAGUUUAUAACCACUCCCUAGGCUUUCAAACAAGGUACCUUGUUGGUCCAGAUUUGAAAAUCAGCUUGUAGGGAAAUCAUUGUAUUUGACAAUGCCUCAUUUUAUUUCUCUGCACCUUUAUAGCUGAGAGGGAAGGAUAGAC